GUGGGGUAACGGCCUACCAAGGCGACGACGGGUAGCUGGUCUGAGAGGACGACCAGCCACACUGGGACUGAGACACGGCCCAGACUCCUACGGGAGGCAGCAGUGGGGAAUCUUGCGCAAUGGGCGAAAGCCUGACGCAGCGACACCGCGUGGGGGAUGAAGGCCUUUCAGGUCGUAAACCCCUUUCGGCAGGGACGAAGCGAUCUCGUGACGGUACCUGCAGAAGAAGCCUCGGCUAACUACGUGCCAGCAGCCGCGGUAACACGUAGGAGGCGAGCGUUGUCCGGAAUCAUUGGGCGUAAAGAGCGCGCAGGCGGCUUGGCAAGUCGGGUGUGAAAUCCCGGGGCUCAACCCCGUGACUGCAUCCGAUACUGUCAGGCUAGAGGUAGGUAGGGGAGAUCGGAAUUCCUGGUGUAGCGGUGAAAUGCGCAGAUAUCAGGAGGAACACCGGUGGCGAAGGCGGAUCUCUGGGCCUUACCUGACGCUCAGGCGCGAAAGCUAGGGGAGCGAACAGGAUUAGAUACCCUGGUAGUCCUAGCCGUAAACGUUGGGUGCUAGGUGUGGGCGGAUAUCAACC
rnacentral:rRNA from 1 species